UACGAGGGGGGCGAGCGUUGUCCGGAGUUACUGGGCGUAAAGUGCACGCAGGCGGUCUGCUAAGUUUGGAGUGACAGUUGGUGGCUUAACUGCCAAAGUGCUUCGAAAACUGACAGACUUGAGGGCUUCAGAGGGACACGGAAUUCCGGGUGGAGUGGUGAAAUGCGUAGAGAUCCGGAGGAACACCAAAGGCGAAGGCAGUGUCCUGGGGAGUACCUGACGCUCAGGUGCGAAAGCCAGGGGAGCGAACGGG
rnacentral:rRNA from 1 species